ensembl:lncRNA
GUAAUAUGACAGCUCUAGAAGGUGAAGUGAAACGAUGUGUGUGCUUUCCAGGGGGAACUUGGGUUAAUGUAUUCUGAAUAAAAGCUCUCGGACAAGAUAUCACCAUUUAACUUUUUUGACUUGUUGAAGAGAUCAAGUACCUUUUCUUUGUUUGAAUCUCGGUAACUCCAGUAAUUCCGUCUCAGACCAUCUGCAGGAAUACAAUAUUCUUUUUCAGACAUUCAAGAAAUGAACAUAACUGCCCCUCAGGCCUUUAUAGAAUAAAAAUCUGCAAUUUUAAUAACUUCCUUGUGGCAUUUUCACAUUCGGUAAGCCACCAUGGCGAAUCUCCACAGUUUUGACGUUCCUCAGAGACUUCUCUCCAUGCUGACCAAAGCUGCAGGUGUUUUUGUUCUCCUGGCUGUCUUCAUUCUGGAGUACAUAUUGAACUUGAACUUUCCAUGCUUCUGCAGGCCUGCAUGGGAAAGCCCACUACAUAUAGGCCCUCAUGGCUUACUGUACAUACUGUGCCCACCCACUAUAAUAACUUGUGCUAUCAUGCUAGUUGAUAAGAUGUACCAGAAGACGUUUUCCAGCAAGAGAUGCAGUGGGUGCUGCACAAAUUAUAACUGCUGCAAUUGCUUCUUUUCACUUACCAAACUUGGGAUCACAUUUCUGUCUGUAGUAUUCUACUGGAUAGCUGCUGUUUUCAUAGAUGGAGAAUGGUAUGUGUGCUAUCAGACCAACAACCAUCCAAAACAAGUUGGAAUUCCCUGUAAAGAAACGGAAAACCUGACCUAUGACGAGAGACUUGUCCUCACUGAUUACAAGACUGACUCAGUUGUCAUUGGCUUGCCUCUGGUUACCCUGGGCCUUGUUUUCUGGCACAUGUGUGAGUGCUGCUUCACCUAUCUCAAAAGAACAAACAACCGCUGCCAUCUUAAUCAACCAUAUUAUGAAAGGUUGUAUGAAGAAAUUCUGUCAGAGGAGGUAAACAAUCAUUUGAAGAAUGAACUGCAGGAAAUUGCGAAAGAGAGGGCCGAGAGGAUCUGUCUUCGGCCCCUUCAGUUCAUCAGGAGAGGGGAUCCUGGGAAUUCAUGGCAAGAUAUUUCAAACUCUGAUUUCUUUUUGUCAGACCAAUAUCAGGAGUCAGUGGGCACAGAAGAGUCAUCUCAUUCAAUAGGUUACUGAAGACUCAGCCCAGUGAGUGUUAUGAUUUUUAAAAGAUAUUUAAAAAAAAAUUUUUUAUGAAUUUUACGGAUGUUGAAAUUAUGUACAUUUUUCGGUUCUGAAUGAAAAUUGAAAAUGCACAUUUUCCAGAUGUUGAAAUGAUGUCUUUUACAUACAUGGAAUAACAUUCAUUUUCAGUUUUAAAUGAAACUUGAAAUGACGUCUUCUACAGACGUUGAAAAUACAUAUUUGUUGGGUAAUUUUUUUCUAUAGCCAAAUUUCAAUCGUACAUAGUUUUUCCCUUUAAAUAUUACUGAAGAAAGCCUUUAUGUCACGCUCAAAAGUUUUAUUUUCAAUAACAUAAUGAAUAUUGCAGUAUAGAUGAUUUUAUUAUUCACAUUUAUCACUCGCACUUAUUUAUGUUAGUCUUUUCGAAAGCUUCAGGACUGAAAGUAAUCAUAUUCAACAUUUCCUGACACAACCAACAGAACAUACACUACCACAACAUUCUCAGUAAAUGUUACAAAAACGUUUUAUUUGCUAUGAUUCUGAUAUGUGGUUGAAUGCACUGACUCUGGAUAAGAAUGUCUGCUGAAUGACCUAAAUGUAGAAAUGAACACUUGUGAUUGCGACCCCAUCCUCAGUAGCCUUUUCCAGUGUUUACUUCUUACGUUGUUACAAGUUACAUUAAACUUUCCUUCUUAAUUCACUCAGUAACGUUAUGGGAAAAGGGUUACAGACAUCUGUUUCACAAGUUUGGACAGCACAGACCAGUAUAGCACAAUAUAGUACAUUAUACUGUGCUCUACUUUACCAUACUGUAGUGUACUGAGCUGUACUCUACUCAUCUAUACUCUACUUUACUUUAAUGUACUGCACUGUCCAAACUUGUGAAACAUAUGUCUAUGAUAAUGUUAUGUACUAUGCUCUGCUCUGCUGUACUGUGCUGUCCAAACCUGUGAAAUGGAGGUCUAUGAAUGCUUCAGAUCUGGGGCAAAUCAGAACCAAUCAUAGACAUCUAUGUUUGGGACAAAUCAAGGCCAGUAACUGGACCAAAUAUACUGGACCAAAUAUGAACCAAUCAUAGACCUCUGUUUUGGCUAAAUAAAAGCCAGUCUGGACCAGACUAAAUCUGAACCGAAAAGGGGCCAAAUCAAGGCCGGUCCUAACCGGACCAAAAACAUGACGUCUGUGAAUGUUGGCCAAAUCAAGGCCAGGGUGGAACGACCAAAUUCCAACUACUUUUCAAUGUCCAUGGACGUCCGGCAUCGGUUGGUGCUCAGUGGGAGAAGAGCGUAAGGGUUUUAUUCAAAAAGAUAGUCAGGUUCUUCUUGAUUAGCAUUUCUUGUGCUGCAAUAACCAUUCUGAUUCAAGCUUAAUAAACUAUGUUUAUACAGCAUUAAAGCGAAACUUUAAUCAAUACAUAAUUGUAGAGUAAAUACUGCCACUUAGAGGAGAUAAAUAGCUAAUGUGUUAAAACAGGUAAUGUAGGAACAGAAGUGCCAAGUUCAAGUGUUGCUCUCCGUCUUUAUUCAUGUGACACACUAACAGUGUUAUAUAUUAUUAGAAAGGCUCUCAAGGUGUUUGGGAAAAUUGUUAUAUGACCAAUACUGUAGCAUGCUACUCUGCUUAUUCCGCUGCUCUGCUUAUUCACCACUGGUGAUUAUUUCAAAGAUCUCAAUGACAUUAAAUUUAGACAACACUGUCACUGAUGUAAAACCUACUGGAUAGAAAAAGUAUGUGAACCCGUUGGAAUUACCUGGAUUUCUGCAUAAAUUGGUCCUAAAAUUGGAUCUGUUCUUUUUUUUCUCUCACAACAAUAGAAAAACAGUGUGCUUAAACUAAUAAGCCACUGCUGUCCCAAAAAAAUAUUGCUGCACAUCUGAAGUUCGCAAAAGAGCACCUGGAUGUUCCAUAGUGCAACUGGCAAAAUACUCUGUAGGCAGAUGAAACUUAAGUUGAGUUGUUUUUAAGGAACACACAACACUAUGUAAAGUAUGGUGGAGGGAGCAUCAUGGUCUGGGGCUGCUUUGCUGCCUCAGGGCCUGCACAGCUUGCUAUCAUCAACGGAAACUUGGGAAUACAUUUUUAUCAAGACAUUUUGUAGGAGAAUGUAAGGUGGUCUGUCUGCCAAUUGAAACUCAACAGAAGUUGGGUGAUGCAACAGGACAACAACCCAAAACACAGAAGUAAAUCAACAACAGAAUGGCUUCAACAGAAGAAAAUACGCCUCCUGGAGUGGCCCAGUCAGUCCUGACCUCAAACCGAUUGAGAUGCUGUGGUAUGACCUCGAGCGGUUCACACCAGACAUCCCAAGAAUAUUGCUGAAUUGAAACCGUAUUCUACAGAGGAACAGUCCAAAAUUCCUCCUGAUCGUUGUGCAGGUCUGUUCCGCAACUACAAUAUUUGGUUGAAGUUAUUGCUGUCAAAGGAGGGUCAACCAGUUAUUAAAUCCAAGGGUUCACAUGCUUUUCCUACCCUGCACUAUGAAUGUUUACAUGGCAACUUUAUUAAACACAUGAAAACGUAUCAUUGUUUGUGUGUUAUCGGUUAAUUAAGAACUGUGUUUGUCUAUUGUUGUGAUUUCGAUGAAGAUCAAAAUUUGAUGACCAAUUUAUGCAGAAAUCCAGGUAAUUCCAAAGGGUUCACAUACAGUGCCUUGCGAAAGUAUUCGGCCCCCUUGAACUUUGCGACCUUUUGCCACAUUUCAGGCUUCAAACAUAAAGAUAUAAAACUGUAUUUUUUUGUGAAGAAUCAACAACAAGUGGGACACAAUCAUGAAGUGGAACGACAUUUAUUGGAUAUUUCAAACUUCGGGAAUGGGAAUGGUAAAAAAUUUCAGUCUCUCGAUGUGCAAAACUGAUAGAGGCAUACCCCAAGGGACUUACAGCUGUAAUCGCAGCAAAAGGUGGCGCUACAAAGUAUUAACUUAAGGGGGCUGAAUAAUUUUGCACGCCCAAUUUUUCAGUUUUUGAUUUGUUAAAAAAGUUUGAAAUAUCCAAUAAAUGUCGUUCCACUUCAUGAUUGUGUCCCACUUGUUGUUGAUUCUUCACAAAAAAAUACAGUUUUAUAUCUUUAUGUUUGAAGCCUGAAAUGUGGCAAAAGGUCGCAAAGUUCAAGGGGGCCGAAUACUUUCGCAAGGCACUGUACUCCUUCUUGCCACUGUAUGUACUUUGGAAAUUACUUUGCAUCAUCAUAAUCCUACCACUUUAUUACCAAAUGUUUUGAUAAACCAUAAUGUGUUUUUGUAUUGAUUUUAAGGUUGCUUACUCAAAAAUAAAAUUGCAAUAAGGUUUUUGUGAAGUUUUUCAUUAUAUCACUGAGACAAAGGGACAGGGCAGGGUAGGUUACUUUCUAAAUGUAUUCUGUUACUAGUUACCUGUCCAAAAUAGUAAUCAGUAACAACUUUUGGAUUACCCAAACUCAGUAAUGUAAUCUGCCCUUAAGAGGCAUUGGAAGAAGACACAAAUGUAUGUUGCCAAUUGAAUGACAUCUAUUGCAGGGUAAAUCAAUGUUAAAACUUACAUAGCUGAACAUAUAUGGAUGUUAAAUGUUACUUUAUGGGUUGGUUAUGUAGGCUUUUUCUAACCCAUCUCUUUCUACUAUAUAUAAUAAUACGAUUAAAUGAUAUCUUUACAUUAAAAACCAGUCUAUCAAAGGGCCUCCCGGGUGGCGCAGUGGUCUAAGGCACUGCAGGCGGCGCACAAUUGGCCUAGGGUCGUCCGGGUUAGGGAGGGUUUGGCCUGCAGGGAUAUCCUUGUCUCAUCGUGCACUAGUGACUCCUGUGGUGGGCCGGGCGCAGUGCACGCUGACCAGGUUGCUAGGUGUACAGUGUUUCCUCCAACACAUUGGUGUGGCUGACUUCCGGGUUGGAUGCGCACUGUAUUAAAUGCAGUUGUUUCGGAGGACGCAUGGCUUUCGACCUUCGCCUCUCCCGAGUCCGUACGGUUGCAGACAGAGACAAGACAGUAACUACCAAAUGGUUUUGUGGUUAUGCUCAGGUCUUAUUAAUCAGCUCUGUUGUUUAUGAUUUCGUUGUCAUGGAGGACUGAUUGGGCCCCAUGGGCCUCAUUGAUUCUAAUUGAAAAAUAAAUGCUGUGCUCAUGCUUUUAGAGCUACUGAAAGUGCUAUUUACAUGUGAAAUCUAAAUGCC